rnacentral:rRNA from 1 species
UACGUAGGGUGCGAGCGUUGUCCGGAAUUAUUGGGCGUAAAGGGCUUGUAGGUGGCUCGUUGCGUCGGGAGUGAAAACCUGCGGCUUAACCGCAGGCCUGCUUCCGAUACGGGCGAGCUAGAGUUCGGCAGGGGAGACUGGAAUUCCUGGUGUAGCGGUGGAAUGCGCAGAUAUCAGGAGGAACACCGGUGGCGAAGGCGGGUCUCUGGGCCGAUACUGACACUGAGAAGCGAAAGCGUGGGGAGCGAACAGG